GGGUUGUGAGGUUAAGCGACUAAGCGUACACGGUGGAUGCCCUGGCAGUCAGAGGCGAUGAAGGACGUGCUAAUCUGCGAAAAGCGUCGGUAAGGUGAUAUGAACCGUUACAGCCGGCGAUGUCCGAAUGGGGAAACCCAGUGCAAUUCGUUGCACUAUCGUUAACUGAAUACAUAGGUUAACGAGGCGAACCGGGGGAACUGAAACAUCUAAGUACCCCGAGGAAAAGAAAUCAACCGAGAUUCCCCCAGUAGCGGCGAGCGAACGGGGAGCAGCCCGGAGUCUGAAUCAGCUUGUGUGUUAGUGGAAGCGUCUGGAAAGUCGCAGGGUACAGGGUGAUACUCCCGUACACUAAAACACACAGGNNNNNNNNNNNNNNNNNNNNNNNNNNNNNNNNNNNNNNNNNNNNNNNNNNNNNNNNNNNNNNNNNNNNNNNNNNNNNNNNNNNNNNNNNNNNNNNNNNNNNGGGUGACUGCGUACCUUUUGUAUAAUGGGUCAGCGACUUAUAUUCUGUAGCAAGGUUAACCGAAUAGGGGAGCCGCAGGGAAACCGAGUCUUAACUGGGCGUUAAGUUGCAGGGUAUAGACCCGAAACCCGGUGAUCUAGCCAUGGGCAGGUUGAAGGUUGGGUAACACUAACUGGAGGACCGAACCGACUAAUGUUGAAAAAUUAGCGGAUGACUUGUGGCUGGGGGUGAAAGGCCAAUCAAACCGGGAGAUAGCUGGUUCUCCCCGAAAGCUAUUUAGGUAGCGCCUCGUGAACUCAUCUUCGGGGGUAGAGCACUGUUUCGGCUAGGGGGUCAUCCCGACUUACCAACCCGAUGCAAACUACGAAUACCGAAGAAUGUUAUCACGGGAGACACACGGCGGGUGCUAACGUCCGUCGUGAAGAGGGAAACAACCCAGACCGCCAGCUAAGGUCCCAAAGUCAUGGUUAAGUGGGAAACGAUGUGGGAAGGCCCAGACAGCCAGGAUGUUGGCUUAGAAGCAGCCAUCAUUUAAAGAAAGCGUAAUAGCUCACUGGUCGAGUCGGCCUGCGCGGAAGAUGUAACGGGGCUAAACCAUGCACCGAAGCUGCGGCAGCGACACUAUGUGUUGUUGGGUAGGGGAGCGUUCUGUAAGCCGUUGAAGGUGGCCUGUGAGGGUUGCUGGAGGUAUCAGAAGUGCGAAUGCUGACAUAAGUAACGAUAAUGCGGGUGAAAAACCCGCACGCCGGAAGACCAAGGGUUCCUGUCCAACGUUAAUCGGGGCAGGGUGAGUCGACCCCUAAGGCGAGGCCGAAAGGCGUAGUCGAUGGGAAACAGGUUAAUAUUCCUGUACUUGGUGUUACUGCGAAGGGGGGACGGAGAAGGCUAUGUUGGCCGGGCGACGGUUGUCCCGGUUUAAGCAUGUAGGCGGAUGUUCCAGGUAAAUCCGGAACGUUAUUAACGCUGAGGUGUGAUGACGAGGCACUACGGUGCUGAAGUGACAAAUGCCCUGCUUCCAGGAAAAGCCUCUAAGCAUCAGGUAACAUCAAAUCGUACCCCAAACCGACACAGGUGGUCAGGUAGAGAAUACCAAGGCGCUUGAGAGAACUCGGGUGAAGGAACUAGGCAAAAUGGUGCCGUAACUUCGGGAGAAGGCACGCUGAUGGUAAGUGAAGUGACUUGCUCAUGGAGCUGAAAUCAGUCGAAGAUACCAGCUGGCUGCAACUGUUUAUUAAAAACACAGCACUGUGCAAACACGAAAGUGGACGUAUACGGUGUGACGCCUGCCCGGUGCCGGAAGGUUAAUUGAUGGGGUUAUCCUCACGGAGAAGCUCUUGAUCGAAGCCCCGGUAAACGGCGGCCGUAACUAUAACGGUCCUAAGGUAGCGAAAUUCCUUGUCGGGUAAGUUCCGACCUGCACGAAUGGCGUAAUGAUGGCCAGGCUGUCUCCACCCGAGACUCAGUGAAAUUGAACUCGCUGUGAAGAUGCAGUGUACCCGCGGCAAGACGGAAAGACCCCGUGAACCUUUACUAUAGCUUGACACUGAACACUGGUCCUUGAUGUGUAGGAUAGGUGGGAGGCUUUGAAGUGUGGACGCCAGUCUGCAUGGAGCCGUCCUUGAAAUACCACCCUUUAAUGGCUGGUGUUCUAACGUGGGCCCGUGAUCCGGGUUGCGGACAGUGUCUGGUGGGUAGUUUGACUGGGGCGGUCUCCUCCUAAAGAGUAACGGAGGAGCACGAAGGUCAGCUAAUCCUGGUCGGACAUCAGGAGGUUAGUGCAAUGGCAUAAGCUGGCUUGACUGCGAGCGUGACGGCGCGAGCAGGUGCGAAAGCAGGUCAUAGUGAUCCGGUGGUUCUGAAUGGAAGGGCCAUCGCUCAACGGAUAAAAGGUACUCCGGGGAUAACAGGCUGAUACCGCCCAAGAGUUCAUAUCGACGGCGGUGUUUGGCACCUCGAUGUCGGCUCAUCACAUCCUGGGGCUGAAGUAGGUCCCAAGGGUAUGGCUGUUCGCCAUUUAAAGUGGUACGCGAGCUGGGUUUAGAACGUCGUGAGACAGUUCGGUCCCUAUCUGCCGUGGGCGCUGGAGAAUUGAGGGGGGCUGCUCCUAGUACGAGAGGACCGGAGUGGACGCAUCACUGGUGUUCGGGUUGUCAUGCCAAUGGCAUUGCCCGGUAGCUAAAUGCGGAAGAGAUAAGUGCUGAAAGCAUCUAAGCACGAAACUUGCCCCGAGAUGAGUUCUCCCUGACCCCUUGAGAGUCCUGAAGGAACGUUGAAGACGACGACGUUGAUAGG
rnacentral:rRNA from 1 species